rnacentral:rRNA from 1 species
AGCAGCCGCCACGGUAAUACGUAGGUGGCAAGCGUUGUCCGGAAUUAUUGGGCGUAAAGGGCUCGCAGGCGGUUUCUUAAGUCUGAUGUGAAAGCCCCCGGCUCAACCGGGGAGGGUCAUUGGAAACUGGGAAACUUGAGUGCAGAAGAGGAGAGUGGAAUUCCACGUGUAGCGGUGAAAUGCGUAGAGAUGUGGAGGAACACCAGUGGCGAAGGCGACUCUCUGGUCUGUAACUGACGCUGAGGAGCGAAAGCGUGGGGAGCGAACAGGAUUAGAUACCCCUGUAGUCCCUGUCUCUUAUAC